AGUGAACGCUGGCGGCGUGAAUAAUACAUGCAAGUCGAACGGAGUGGUGCACGGGCGAGGAAUGUAUAGCUCAUCUGCCCUACACUAGAGGACAAGAGGUGGAAACGGCUACUCAUACUUCAUAGUGUAGGAUGAUGAUAUACUGUAUCAGCUGGUUGGUGAGGGAAUGUCUCACCAAGGUUAUGACGCAUAACUGGUAUGAGAGGAUGAUAAGUCACCCUGGAACUGAGACACAGUACAGAAUCCUACGGGAGGCAGCAGUAGGGAAUAUUGCUCAAUGGGGGAAACCCGGAAGCAGCAACGGCUCGUGGAGGAUGACACUUUUCGGAGCGUAAACUCCUUUUGUUAGGGAAGCGGUACCUAACGAAUAAGCACCGGCUAACUCCGUGCCAGCAGCCGCGGUAAUAC
rnacentral:rRNA from 1 species